rnacentral:rRNA from 1 species
UGCAAGUCGAGCGGAUGAAGGGAGCUUGCUCCCUGAUUCAGCGGCGGACGGGUGAGUAAUGCCUAGGAAUCUGCCUGGUAGUGGGGGACAACGUCUCGAAAGGGACGCUAAUACCGCAUACGUCCUACGGGAGAAAGCAGGGGACCUUCGGGCCUUGCGCUAUCAGAUGAGCCUAGGUCGGAUUAGCUAGUUGGUGAGGUAAUGGCUCACCAAGGCGACGAUCCGUAACUGGUCUGAGAGGAUGAUCAGUCACACUGGAACUGAGACACGGUCCAGACUCCUACGGGAGGCAGCAGUGGGGAAUAUUGGACAAUGGGCGAAAGCCUGAUCCAGCCAUGCCGCGUGUGUGAAGAAGGUCUUCGGAUUGUAAAGCACUUUAAGUUGGGAGGAAGGGCAUUAACCUAAUACGUUGGUGUUUUGACGUUACCGACAGAAUAAGCACCGGCUAACUCUGUGCCAGCAGCCGCGGUAAUACAGAGGGUGCAAGCGUUAAUCGGAAUUACUGGGCGUAAAGCGCGCGUAGGUGGUUUGUUAAGUUGGAUGUGAAAUC